rnacentral:rRNA from 1 species
GGGAGGUCUAAGUAUAAGCACUCUUUUACUGUGAAACUGCGAAUGGCUCAUUAAAUCAGUUAUCGUUUAUUUGAUAGUACCCUACUACAUGGAUACCUGUGGUAAUUCUAGAGCUAAUACAUGCGCAAAACCCCGACUUCGGAAGGGGUGUAUUUAUUAGAUAAAAAACCAAUGCCCUUCGGGGCUCCUUGGUGAUUCAUAAUAACUUCACGAAUCGCAUGGCCUUGCGCCGGCGAUGGUUCAUUCAAAUUUCUGCCCUAUCAACUUUCGAUGGUAGGAUAGUGGCCUACCAUGGUGGCAACGGGUAACGGGGAAUUAGGGUUCGAUUCCGGAGAGGGAGCCUGAGAAACGGCUACCACAUCCAAGGAAGGCAGCAGGCGCGCAAAUUACCCAAUCCCGAUACGGGGAGGUAGUGACAAUAAAUACUGAUACAGGGCUCUUUUGGGUCUUGUAAUUGGAAUGAGAACAAUCUAAACCCCUUAACGAGGAACAAUUGGAGGGCAAGUCUGGUGCCAGCAGCCGCGGUAAUUCCAGCUCCAAUAGCGUAUAUUAAAGUUGUUGCAGUUAAAAAGCUCGUAGUUGAACCUUGGGCCCGUCCUGCCGGUCCGCCUCACCGCGAGUACUGGUCCGGAUGGGCCUUUCUUUCUGGGGAAUCCCAUGGCCUUCACUGGCUGUGGCGGGGAACCAGGACUUUUACUGUGAAAAAAUUUAGAGUG